rnacentral:rRNA from 1 species
AAUGAGGACUAGUAUCAAUGGCAUCACGAGGAUCUUACUGUCUCCUCACUCCAAUCAGUGAAACUGAUCUUCCCGUGAAGAAGCGGGAAUACAUCUAUAAGACGAGAAGACCCCAUGGAGCUUUAAACCCAACAGCACCUAUUACUUUUAUACCAGAAUAUUAACCUAGUAAAUGCUCGUCUGGUUUUAGGUUGGGGUGACCAUGGAGUAAAAAUUAACCUCCACGAAAAAAGGUAUAAAAUCCUUAUCAAAGAACUACAUUUCUAUGAAUUAGUAUACUAAUUUUUAAUGAUCCGAUAUUCGAUCAGCGAACCAAGUUACCC